CUUAGGGCAGCCGGAAGUCAAUUGUGUUGCUGUGUCUCAGAGCGGAUGUUAUAGAAUUGUAUCUGGCAACAUGGACAACACGCUGCGCGUUUGGGAGUUUCCCGCGCUCCGCUUCAAACUGUCAUCUGAAGAUUAUUAUUUUUAAUCUAUUUUACUUAUAAUUUGUAUACGAGUUCGUUAGUUAUUUUUAGUUAUGUUUUACCGAUAGAAUAAAGUUAUGUUCAUUGUAGUAAUUAAUGCUAGUUAAUAUAAUUUAGAACUUGA